CUGGUUGAUCCUGCCAGUAGUCAUAUGCUUGUCUCAAAGAUUAAGCCAUGCACGUCUAAGGAUAAAUAUUUUUAACCAUAAACCUGCGAAAGGCUCAUUAAAUCAGUAAUAAUCUACUCUAUUAUUUAAAUUCUAUUUGGAUAACUGUAGUAAUUCUAGAGCUAAUACAUGCAAAAAACCUGAACUUUACAGAACAGGUGUACUUAUUAGACAUUAAAAAACCGAUUACAAUUUUAUUGUAUACUUAAAAUGAAUUAAAAUAAGUUUAUGAAUCGCAGAUCAUUUUGUGAUGAUGAGAAUGAAUUUCUGCCCUAUCAACUUUCGAUGGUAAUGUAGAGGAUUACCAUGGUAAUGACGGGUAACGGGGAAUUAGGGUUUGAUUCCGGAGAAUAGGCCUGAGAGACGGCCAUUACUUCUAAGGAAGGCAGCAGGCGCGUAAAUUACCCAAUCCCAAUACGGGGAGGUAGUGACAAGAAAUAUCGAUAUUGGGCCCAAAGGGUACAAUGAUUGAAAUGAGAACAAUACAAAAAACUUAACGACUAACAAUUGGAGGGCAAGUCUGGUA
rnacentral:rRNA from 1 species